CUGUAGGGAAGUCCAGCAACCAAGGAUUUAAUUAAAGAAGCCACAAUCAUCUAGACAGCUGCCUUUUACAAAGAAGUCAAAACAGCUCUACCUAAUACAUAUAAACAAACACAGAGAGGCUGCUAAAUUGAGGAGACAAAGAAAUAUGGCCCAAAUGAAAGAA